rnacentral:rRNA from 1 species
UACGAAGGGUGCAAGCGUUAAUCGGAAUUACUGGGCGUAAAGCGUGCGCAGGCGGUGAUGUAAGACAGGUGUGAAAUCCCCGGGCUUAACCUGGGAACUGCAUUUAUGACUGCAUCGCUGGAGUGCGGCAGAGGGGGAUGGAAUUCCGCGUGUAGCAGUGAAAUGCGUAGAUAUGCGGAGGAACACCGAUGGCGAAGGCAAUCCCCUGGGCCUGCACUGACGCUCAUGCACGAAAGCGUGGGGAGCAAACAGG